rnacentral:rRNA from 1 species
AACGAACGCUGGCGGCAGGCUUAACACAUGCAAGUCGAACGCCCCGCAAGGGGAGUGGCAGACGGGUGAGUAACGCGUGGGAAUCUACCCAGAUCUUCGGAACAACACAGGGAAACUUGUGCUAAUACCGGAUACGCCCUACGGGGGAAAGAUUUAUCGGAUUUGGAUGAGCCCGCGUUGGAUUAGCUAGUUGGUGAGGUAAUGGCUCACCAAGGCGACGAUCCAUAGCUGGUCUGAGAGGAUGAUCAGCCACACUGGGACUGAGACACGGCCCAGACUCCUACGGGAGGCAGCAGUGGGGAAUAUUGGACAAUGGGCGCAAGCUUGAUCCAGCCAUGCCGCGUGAGUGAUGAAGGCCUUAGGGUUGUAAAGCUCUUUUAGUGGGGAAGAUAAUGACGGUACCCACAGAAAAAGCCCCGGCUAACUUCGUGCCAGCCGCCGCCGUAACAC